CGCUGGCGGGUCUUGUCCGGCAGCCGAAGCUGGGCGUGGUGGUAAUCAGAAAUGAGUCUGGGCUGCGGAGAUCUGGAGCUUGUGGAGAAAAGUAACUGGCGCGAAAAAUCAGUCACCUCGUGUGCCGUUGUUAGUGAGGAGGCAGUGUCUCCGGAGAGAAAGAUGAAAGCGCUCGGUCUCCCCGCCGUGACCAUCAUCGGGGAACCGCAUUUUGCGACGAGAGUGGGAAAGUUUCGUGCAGAUGUGGUUGGCAGCAGUCAGGCUUGCCCCUGGGACUCUCUUCUGUGGAUUUUCCCACCAGCCAUCUCUUCAACCCAUUCAUCAUGUUCAAAAAUUUCUGAGGUCCAAGAGGUCCUAACUUGUUCUGAGGCAACCGAAGACCAAGAAUGGUCUUCAGUGAAGGAGACAGAAAAAUGAGAAGGAAUAUGUGGGCAAAGUAAAAUGCUUUGGGAAAGAAGCAAGAGACAGAAGACCUACCUUCAGAUCAGUGCUUCAAAUCCUCCUUCUAGCAGCCUCUGAGGCACCAGAGGCUAAAGCUCGGGAAAAAGAACCUGAGUAUCUUUGCAUGUGUAUUGCUCUCAUGAAGUAGUUUACAAGCGAGGAUGUAUUACAACCAAUGAUUUUUCCGUUUAAAUGGAUGGUGACUUCCCAGCUAAACAUUCUUUUUGCCUAAUGGAAGCAGUCUGAUUUUUCAAAUUUUUAGUGUUGUUUCACGGAAGAAAAGCAAUCCAGAGUACAGUUAUUUUAUUCAUAAGGAAAAGAAUUAAUUUUCUUGUGGAAUCCCAGCUUUUCUAUUCAUAUUUGUGCACUAGAGUUUUAAAUUUUAAAAUCAAAGAAGUCCAAAACCUUUAUUCUAAAAUUGUAUUUUUUUCAUUGUAUGCAAGAUAGAUCACUAUUAUUUCUGUGCUAAUAGUUAUUUAGAAAAUCAUACUAUUUAGUAUAUCACAGUUGUUUACAUGAUUUUUUUAGAUCAAUCUUUUACUAUGAGAAGGAUGUAAAUGAUAAGUAUAUGCUUACUCGUAAUUCUUUUCUGAAAAUGGUAAAAUUAAGGAAAACAGAAAUGUUGUAUAUUCAUUUCAACAUACAUUAUGACUGAAACUGGAAUCUUGGAUAUAAAGCAUGACAAGAAUAUGAAACAGCAAAAUUUAAAGGGUCUAACAUUCUGGGCUUUGCAAGAAGUAUGAAACUUAUUGACAAUGAGUAAUCUCUAAUCUUCUCUUGAUGAUUCGGUAAUGUGUUAUUAUGUUACAAUAAGUUAGUAUACCUACAGAAUAAGGAUGGGCUGGUUGUAAAAAGUUAAUUUGGACUAAGCAUUUUUAAAAUUACUGUAUUCGGUGGUUUUGAACUGAAUAAUACAUAUUUCUUCCAAAUUUUCACUCAACUGAGAAAUGUUCAAUAUUUUGCCCUUCUUGUGGCUUUUGGGGUAUUCAUAUCUGGUGUUCUGUUCUAGACUAAUCUCCCUUGCACAUCGAGUCUACCUCUGCAUGCCACAGCUUUAGCUGUAGCUCGUAGCAACAGUUACAGUUAAGGAUGCUUAAGAGCUUCUAUUCUAAAGCGGCUUUUUAGUUUCUUCUAACUUUUUUUUACAUUUGUUCUUUGUUUCUUUGUUUCGUUCUUUUUCUUUCUUUUUCUUUCUUUCUUUCUUUCUUUCUUUCUUUCUUUCUUGACUGAAGGUAUUUAUGGAAUGACCUCAUAAAGAAAGAAUCUUUUCCAUCAUGGAAUACCCACCUACUACUUGACAAUAUUCCUGAGAUAUAUAGAAAGCUUUUCUUAUUUUUUUCCCUCUAUGUUUGUAAAAAAUAAUUAAAAGAAAUCCAUAAAGAACCCCUAAGGAACAGGUGCUACCUAUUUGCAAUGUAUAUACUCCAAACAGUUUGAAAACGAUAUACAUCAGUUACCUCCUACUUUUACGGGGAAAAAAUAAAAUUGCUUUCGACACAGCUGCCUUUAAAAUUGAUAUCCGAAAAUACACUUAUUUUCAGAUGGUUGGAAAAGCCAUGCUUAAACACUGUCCAAACACUAAGGCCAGGGAUAUUCAAAGUGCCUAUUGUCGGCCUAGUUUUGGGAAGGAGAUGAAAACAGAAUCAGUCUUUUUAAAAUAUACAGCCUAAAAAGCAGAUUUUUUUGAUGUUAAAGUAUAUCUUUAAAGAGAAUAAAAGAGCCUACAGAUUGCUUAUCCCUAUUUUUGUCAUGGUACAUUUACAGUCCAAUGCAGAGCAAACAAGAUGGUUACACCAGAUAACAAAAACAGUCUCUGAAUGCAGAAGUGACUAUCCAUGCUCCUCUUUCCUUAAAAAAAGCUCUUUCUCAUAUAAAGAUAUUAGCACCACUUUAAUUCUUGCAGUAAAUUUUUCCUUCCAGUUCAUAGGCCGAUCCCAAGAGGGAAAAAAUGUCCUCAGCUGUACCCCUUAUACGAGGCAGGCAGAUUUAGCAAGUCUUGAUCUGAGAAAGUACUAAUGCAAAUGCUUAAGAUUAAACAUGUGGUUAUGUGCUUUUCUGAAUUAAAAUCUGUGUCAGAACGCUUAUUUAGCUACAAUUCUGAUAUUAAGAAAAUCUUUCCAUGUUGGCUGACCUAAUACAGAUAGUGGCAUUAUUUUGAAUGUUCUUUUUGUUUUAUAAAUUUUGGGUAAGUUACAUACGAUAUGUAGAUAUUUGCAUGAGAGACAUAAACUAGCUCAUAAACAUUGCCUGCUUUAUUUUCAAAAUUAUUUCUGCUAUAAUUAUUGUGAUAAGAUAUGACUGUGACUGAGACCAGGUGAUACCUUCUAGAUACAGAGAUACAAAAGCUCUGAACUACUUGUGAAUAGAUAUGCAAGGACAAGCUCUUGCCAGAUAUAUUUGAAACUAAUAAAUGCUGGUAAUAACUGUGUUCUUGGCACGUAUACCAGCCCAUGCUAUUGUUGCUGUGUGUCACUACAACAUAAAAGUGGUCAACACUUAAGUACCUCCAGCUGUAUCUGGCUCAUGAGUGGAUAAAUGCACAAGUUGAACAAAAAUAAGCAAGACCAAGGAGCUAAUGUUCUUUAAAUCUCAGGUCUCCAUGAUGACCAGUUGCAUGUGGCAAACUGUGAAUGUUCUCCACUGGUAUCUUCGGCUUAAUCCUAAGAACAGGAAAAUGUAAAGCCCACUAAGACAUUGUGUGGCGUAAAGAAGUGAGUUAGCUUUAAAUGAAGUAUUUUUGGUACUGGCAACACUCAAGUUGUGAUAGCACGGAGCUUACUCUGUAGGAACUUUAUUCUGCUACAUGGGCAAGUUUAGCAGCCUGUCCUGCACUUCAUGCUAUUGUGAGAUGGCUGCUACACAGUAUUUUAUGUAAUACCUCUUAUGCAGAAGGUAUCCAACAGAGCAGAGGCACAUGGCAAAAAGCACUUCACUGGGCUAGAGCUACACUGCACCAUAUAAUAUAAUAAAAUAUACUUUAAAAAUGUAAUAAUGUAUAUUAUAUGCUAUAAUACAAUACACUACAAAGUUUAUUAUAUUAUAUUAUAUACACUACUUAGUUUAUUCUAACAACUUUUUCCUAUUCAUUAUAUCAUUCUCCCUUAAUCAGAAUUUUCCUGCAUAAAAUGUGGCCAUUCUUGAGAUGCUUUGAGAUUGAUCUUGAGAUUCUUUGUCAAGAAAAAAAACAUUUACAUGACAUGAAAGAAAUGAAGCAUUUCUGAAGGAAGGCUACCUCACUAUUUAUAUGGGACUUGUCUGCCAAUGAAAGGUAAAUCUCCAAACACCUACAAUUAUUGCAAGACUCAGGUGAAAUUAACGACUUCAAGACUACUGCUGCUAAUAGGGCAGAGUAAAAAUCCAUCAAGUGUCUCUUCUUUACUUUUAAUGCCGUCACAAUGACAAGAUCCUAUGUCCCCCAGGCCCAUGGUGGGUUGCCACUGCAUUGCAGGGAGAAGGCUGAUGUGUCAGAACACAUUAACUUCCAUAGCAGGUGGGCAAGGGAUGACUGUACAAAGAGGUAUUAGGCCCAAUGAUUAAGCAAUAUGAAAACAUAACAGUAAUUUCAAUUAACAGACAAAAUAUUAAAACAUUUGGAAAAUAUUCAUGGAAGAACAGCAGGGACACAUUUUUCAAAACAGUAAGAAUAAGAAAUAAAAGAAAGGCUAAAACCCCCAUAUUCACAAAUUAGGGAUUAUAACCCAAGAUUAGUUUUACACAGGGAAACAGAAAAGUACAAAAGUAACUGUCUUGUUAACUACAACAAAUUGAAAUUAAUGUAAUAUUUAUUAUCCUGUUAUCUUUCCAAAUCUUUGCUGAUUUGUAAAUGCUGCCAUUUUAGCCACAUGAAAUAAGAGAUUUACCUUAUGUGGGACAGAGAAUCAUAUUCCUAUCUAUUAUGCAUUGUAUUUCAGGACUUGUAUUAAAAUCACUUAUUUCCAAGAACAACAGGAUAGAGAUAAUAAGAAAGAUAGGUACUAAUAGACACAGAAACACAAAAUAAAACCAAAUAAAAUUAUAAGAGAUCUUUACAAGCUCUAUAUAAUACCUUGGAACCCUACUUGUUACUGUAUUACAUGAUGGUUUGUAUAAUAUGUUUUUUUGGAACUCUGCCCAGCACACUGCGCACAUUACUGUGAUGAGACCAGAGAGAGGGAAUACUGAGGGAAAGGGAGGCAACAUGAUGAUUCUUAUAGACCUUUUGGGUUUUAGAGGAAUUUGCAAAUGUUAUACAGUUCCUUCUACCCUGUGCAGCAACAGUAGUCUGACCAGACUGAAAAUGCUUGGAAUCCAUAGAAGUAGGGAUUUUUUGAAGGCUGAUAAGUGAUAGAUUUUGGAAAACUUCUUUUUUCAGCUCUUGAAGAAGUCUAUAAGCUGCUGAGUUUUUUUUAUUUGCAAAUAAAAGAGUACAGUGCUUACCAUUGUUAGAGAAUAAAUAUUGUCCUGCAUAAUUUAUGAUAAAGUAUGAUAAUUCCUAUACUUCUAAAGGCUUGCUAGAAUAUGUAAGUAUUAUGCUUGUACACUUUUGUAUAUGUCAAACUAAUUUAAAAAAGCCUUUAGGAGAAAAAGUAUUAUGUUAGAAAACUUUGGUAGUAUAAUAUCAACAUUGAUUAGGUAGUUAUAUAUUACAGAUAUUUUUUAGACUGCCAUACUUAGUGUUUCUUUUUGAUUGGGAAGAUGCUAAAAGAGUCCACUAUCAAGAAAUAUAGGAAAAUAAUGUCAAGCAAUGUCAAACCUCUUCAAAAUUACAGGAAAAACCUCCAAACAAAUAAUUCUAAGGAGUCAAAAGGAUGACGAAAACAUUAUUCAAAUGGCAGUUGUGGAAACAUUAUUCAAAUGACAAUUGUGUAAAGUUGUUCCUUGUGAGCUCUGGAAGUCAUAGUAGGUUUAAUUUCCUUUUUCUUUUCAUUCAACAACAACACCACCACCAUCAUCACAAAAAACUAAAACAAAAAAAAAAACAAA